GUAAAAGCAAUGAAAAGAAGUAGUAUGUAUGAAAAGGUCUUAAAGCGAGCCACAGAUGGUGUAAGGUGGUAGAAACUCCAUACAGAACGUGUCUUGGAGUGGAUAUACGAAGCUUGAGUAUAUCCCGUUCCCCGCGUUAAAGGGUCGAGGGCUUUCCAUUUGGAAAGAAUAAAGGUGGUACCGCGGUCAAUCGUCCUUUUC
rnacentral:ncRNA from 1 species